rnacentral:misc_RNA from 1 species
GAUGAAGAACGUAGCGAAAUGCGAUAAGUAGUGUGAAUUGCAGAAUUCCGUGAAUCAUCGAAUCUUUGAACGCACAUUGCGCCUUCUGGUAUUCCGGAAGGCAUGCCCGUUCGAGAGUCAUUAACAACCGUUUCGAUCCCUUUCUUUCAGAAAUUACAAAGAGGAAAAGGGUUUGGUUAUGGUGGAGGAGGGAAAGGGAGCGUUUAGCCUGUAAAAAAAGAGGCUGUGUUCCGCCUCCCCCCCAAAAUUGUACAGGCGGUCGUGUGCGCCCACGCAUCGAGGUGUUGUAAAAGCUGCCACGGCACUUUUCACCUGUGCAGUGCGAGAUUGGCCAGCCGGUUUAAAAACCCCUCCAAACAAUCAAAGGUUGACCUCGGAUCAGGUAGGGAUACCCGCUGAACUUAAGCAUAUCAAUAAGCGGAGGA